rnacentral:rRNA from 1 species
CCUACGGGUGGCUGCAGUGGGGAAUCUUGGACAAUGGGCGCAAGCCUGAUCCAGCCAUGCCGCGUGAGUGAUGAAGGCCCUAGGGUUGUAAAACUCUUUCGUGGGGGACGAUAAUGACGGUACCCCAAGAAGAAGCUCCGGCUAACUUCGUGCCAGCAGCCGCGGUAAUACGAAGGGGGCUAGCGUUGUUCGGAUUUACUGGGCGUAAAGCGCGUGUAGGCGGGCUGGAAAGUUGGGGGUGAAAUCCCGAGGCUCAACCUCGGAACUGCCUCCAA